rnacentral:rRNA from 1 species
UACGUAGGGGGCGAGCGUUGUCCGGAUUUAUUGGGCGUAAAGAGCGUGUAGGCGGUUCGGUAAGUCUGUCGUGAAAUCCUGAGGCUCAACCUCGGGCGUGCGAUGGAUACUGCCGGGCUAGAGUCCGGAAGAGGAGAGUGGAAUUCCUGGUGUAGCGGUGAAAUGCGCAGAUAUCAGGAAGAACACCCGUGGCGAAGGCGGCUCUCUGGGACGGUACUGACGCUGAGACGCGAAAGCGUGGGGAGCGAACAGG